UACGGGGGGGGCAAGCGUUGUUCGGAAUUACUGGGCGUAAAGGGCUCGUAGGCGGCCAACUAAGUCAUACGUGAAAUCCCUCGGCUUAACCGGGGAACUGCGUCUGAUACUGGAUGGCUAGAGUGUGGGAGAGGGAUGCGGAAUUCCAGGUGUAGCGGUGAAAUGCGUAGAUAUCUGGAGGAACACCGGUGGCGAAGGCGGCAUCCUGGACCAUUACUGACACUGAGACACGAAAGCGUGGGUAGCAAACAGG
rnacentral:rRNA from 1 species